rnacentral:rRNA from 1 species
CCUACGGGAGGCUGCAGUGAGGAAUAUUGGUCAAUGGACGCAAGUCUGACCCAGCCAUGCCGCGUGCAGGAAGACGGCUCUAUGAGUUGUAAACUUCUUUUGUACGGGGGUAAACGCAGAUACGCGUAUCUGUCUCAACGUAUCAUAAGAAUACGGAUCGGCUAACUCCGUGCCAGCAGCCGCGGUAAUACGGAGGAGUCAAGCGUUAUCCGGAUUUAUUGGGGUUAAAGGGUGCGUAGGUGGUCUGUUAAGUUAGAGGUGAAAUCCCGAGGCUAAACUGUGGAAUUGCCUUUGAAACUGUCAGUCUAGAGAGCAGUUGAGGUAGGCGGAAUGUAUGGUGUAGCGGGGAAAUGCUUAGAGAUCAGACAGAACACCGAUUGCGAAGGCAGCUUACUAAGCUACUACUGACGUGGAGGCGCGAAAGCGUGGGGAGCAAACAGGAUUAGAUACCCGAGUAGUC